GUAAGUACACCAUAAACAACCAAGAUUUAUAGUGGUUUGGUGCCAACCUUGCACCUACAUCCACUCUCCAAGCUCCUACUUGAGAAUUCAAAUCUACUAAAUCGUAUUCAACAAGAAUACAACGUCGGUACCUCUGACUCUAGCUAUCCCAAGCUAGAACACUUAUUUUUCGGAUAUAAACCAACCCAAUAUAAUUCAAUUCA
rnacentral:lncRNA from 1 species